CCUACGGGAGGCAGCAGUGAGGAAUAUUGGUCAAUGGGCGCGAGCCUGAACCAGCCAAGUAGCGUGAAGGAUGACUGCCCUACGGGUUGUAAACUUCUGUGAUGGGGGAUGAACACAAUGACGGUACCCCAAUAGCAAGCCACGGCUAACUACGUGCCAGCAGCCGCGGUAAUACGUAGGUGGCAAGCGUUAUCCGGAAUGACUGGGCGUAAAGGGUGCGUAGGUGGUUUAGUAAGUUGGCGGUGUAAUUCCGGGGCUCAACCUCGGCGCUACCGCCAAAACUAUUAGACUAGAGUGCAGGAGGGGUAAGUGGAAUUCCUGGUGUAGCGGUGGAAUGCGUAGAUAUUAGGAGGAACAUCAGGGGCGAAGGCGACUUACUGGACUGUAACUGACACUGAGGCACGAAAGCGUGGGGAGCAAACAGGAUUAGAUACCCCGGUAGUC
rnacentral:rRNA from 1 species